rnacentral:tRNA from 1 species
GCAUCAUUGGUCUAGUGGUAGAAUACAACGUUGCCAUCGUUGUGAUCCGAGUUCGAUUCUCGGAUGAUGCA